UUUUCUUAAGUUUAUCAUAGCUUUCAGUGAGAAGUUGGUUUUUCUGAUUUAGUUCUUUAUUUUUCUCAAUUAAGAUUUUAGUUUCAUUAGUAUGUUUCUUAAUUAGUGUUUCAUAAUAAUUAGACAGUUUCAUUUUUUCAUUUACUAGGAUUUUCUUUUCAUUCUUCAGGUUCUUAUUUUUACAAAUGAGUUUCUUAUGUUCCUUUAUUAGAUCAAGAAAUGCAUCAUGUAACUCAUCAAGUGUAAAAUCAUUUUCAGUUUUAUCAUAUACUUCAUAUUCAGAAGAGGAGACACUUUGUGUUUCAACACAUACCUCGUUCUUGUGUGCCACAAGGC
rnacentral:lncRNA from 1 species